GAAGUGGCGAUGGCAGUUGGGAGCAGCGGACACUGCGGCGGAGAAGCAAGUAGAUGAUGAAGCGACAGAUACCAGCUCUGUGGCGAGCCAGUGGACAUCUACACAGUGCCAUUGCUGGGGAGAGUACGCAUGCCUAACCACCUCAUAGGCUACUCACUGACUCAUGGAUGGGUGUUUCGGGUCCCUGGGAAUGUCAUAUGAUGUACCAGAGGCAGAAACGUUUGAACUCUAUAAAAUGCUGU